ACGAACGCUGGCGGCGUGCUUAACACAUGCCAGUCGAACGGUGAAGCGCCUUCCUUUUUGGUGGGUGUGGAUGAGUGGCGAACGGGUGAGUAACACGUGAGUAACCUGCCCCCUUCUUCUGGAUAACCGCAUGAAAGUGUGGCUAAUACGGGAUAUUCUGGGUCUGUCGCAUGAUGGGUCUGGGAAAGAUAUUGUUUCGGUGGGGGAUGGACUCGCGGCCUAUCAGCUUGUUGGUGGGGUGAUGGCCUACCAAGGCGGUGACGGGUAGCCGGCCUGAGAGGGUGGACGGUCACACUGGGACUGAGACACGGCCCAGACUCCUACGGGAGGCAGCAGUGGGGAAUAUUGCACAAUGGGCGCAAGCCUGAUGCAGCGACGCCGCGUGAGGGAUGGAGGCCUUCGGGUUGUGAACCUCUUUCGCCAGUGAAGCAGGCCUGCCUCGUUUGUGGGUGGGUUGACGGUAGCUGGAUAAGAAGCGCCGGCUAACUACGUG
rnacentral:rRNA from 1 species